GCAAAGAAAAUAAAUAAUUAAUGGCAGAGAACAGGGAAGAAGAUACUAAAUUUGGAGCCAAAGAGUUCACAACGCAAUGGGGAGGAUUAGGAGACAUAUACAAACAGUUGUUAGAUUCAUUAUCCAAUCUAAACCCAUCUUUGAGAACUCAAAAAGAAAUGAAAUUCCAUGAAAAAAAAUGUAAAUAGUGAGAAUUUCCCAUUUAUGCAAACAUUUCUCCACAAAAAUUCCCCAUUUGUACACAACUUCAAUGCCACUCAUAUCCCACAACACGACAUUUAAAUACGCUAUUGAAGAAGUAAUAUGCAUUUACGUAGAGAAAAAAAGUUAUGACAAAAUAGUGAAAAUCUGUCCGAGAGAGAAGAAGUGGCAACUGAGGCAAAAAUUGACCACUGUUAAAUGAGCAAAAUGCACACAAGGAGAGAUGACGAUCGGCACAAUGAUUCCGAUGAUUGACAUGUGGUGAUCGAUGUUAGUGGGAUCUGCGAUAGUUGCAACAUUAUCCGAUGGAGACGUCAAUUGGACGUACAGUGUGAGGUACCCCAUGCUGACUUGUGAUAUUUGUGCAGGAACGCACUCUUCCUCCAAAGUUAUAUAUCUAUACGAGGAAGUCAUCUACAAAUACCAAAACAAAUAAAAAUAUUAGAACCUG
rnacentral:lncRNA from 1 species